CCUGUGUGGGGAAUGGAGGCCUCUCUGGAUUGGGGCCAGUCACCAACUAGCUUAUUAACUCCUCGUGCCCCAGGGUGGGGGAGCCAUGCCAAGGUGACUCCCCCCUCAGCUCUGGAGGAUUAGAUGUAACCCCCCUUCCCCUCCCUCGCUGCAGCUCCUGGGCAUCCUCUUCCUCAGCUUCGGCCUCUGGAUCCUCAUCGACCAGCACAGCUUUGCUGCCGUCCUAGGUUCCUCAAUGUAUGCCCUGAAGGUUUGGUCCUACGUCCUGUCUGGGGUCGGCAUCAUCACCAUGCUGAUGGGUUUCCUUGGAUGCCUGGGUUCCCUCAAGGAGAUCAAGUGUAUGCUGGGAUUUUAUUUUGGUUUCCUCUUUCUCCUCUUCGCCGCCCAGAUCACCAUUGGAGUCCUGCUGUACA